UAUUCAUUACCGUAAGGCCUAUAAGUUUCUAGUUACCAAGGUUAUUCAAUCCCUCCACUCGAUUACUUAUUUUAUAUUAAUAUAAAGGGGAGUUAUACAGUCCUCAGUUGCAUUUGAGGUUUGUGAUCCCUCACGUCAAACAAAAUAAAAUGUACUGUAGCUAACUUUUGUAUUUUCUGUGUUCACCUGUUAGAGCUGGUUAUAUAAUCGGGGCACAUUAUUUUGAAAAUAAUUAAAAUUGAAAUGGGUAUUUUGAGGACGUUAUUGUAAAACUGUAUUUUUGCUUAGAUGUAUUGGAUCUUCGAAAGAGUGUAUUGGUGAUGAAUAUGUUUGUAUCCUUUUCCUUGGGAGAGUUGUAAGAGAAGAAUUCGAAAAAAUGAAGCCGCAGAGAAGGUCAUCGAUGAAAAUUGGGUGGACGCUUGGUUGACUGGAGACUACCACCGAGAAAAAUCCUUCAUCAGAACCGGCAUUAAUGGCAGAGAAGUAGAACAACAAUUUACCGGCAGGUUUGUGGAGAAAAGCUUAAAGGGUGUAGAGGUUAUGGAGAGGAUAUGUAAGUUUCUUGAGGGUUCUCUGCUUUUGGCGUUUUGUGAUGUUGCACAGGUCUUAUGGUCAUUGAGCUUGCUUGUAUCAAGUCUUAUCUUAGCUUUCUUUUUUUUUUUAUAGCAGGCUUUUUGUACUGACUAUAAGCACGGUGAUCAGAGACUUUGGUUUUAUUGUUCUGACAGAUUAAACACUAAUUCAUGUCUAGUAGUUUUCAUUGGGAUGAUUUUGGGUUUUAAAACUUAAUAACUAGUCUUCAAAUGUAUUGCUGAAAUUGUUUAUUUUCUUUAAUAUGAAACUUGGUAACUUGUACCUUCUUAAUUAUGAAGAAAGAUGAAAGUUGAAAUUGUAUCCUUUUAACAUGAUGACAUGUGAUCAACUCAGAAAUAAUAUCAUAAACUGAUUCUAAUUC